UUCGAUUCUGACGUCGUCGAGCCCUCCCUGAGCCCACUUAGCACCUCUACAGGCUCACUGUAAGCACCUCGUUUGAUUCCCACUGUUUCCCCUUCGAAUCCAUCGCCGUAGACGCCAUCCCACACUCGCCGCCGCUCACCAUGGCUGGAACUCGCCCGUGCACGCACGUUCACAUGCUCCUGCUGCUCGAGGCCGUGCUGCUACUGCUGUUGCCACGUUGGUGCUGCUCGCCCUCCGCACCUGUAGCUGCUGCUGCGUUGCUGGUACUAUCGUUGCCGCUGCUCCUUCUCUGCUGCUUGUUGCGUCUGCUUCUCCCACCGCUGGCUGCCGCUGCUCCCGCCGCUAGGUCCCGUCGCUAUUGUGCCACUGCUACCUGUGCCGGACCACUGCGCUGCACUCCCCCCUCGACCGAUGUGGUGGCCGCCGGCGCUUCCUACGCGUGCCGCCGGAGCACCUCGGCCGCUCCCGCCCGUGCGAGGACGCCCUCGUGCGCCCUCCCGCCUCCCAAACACGCUCGUGCCUCCUGGCCGUCGUGGUUGCCAGCGCCCUGCUGCCUGGGUACUCCCCCGCUCCCAUCGGUGCCCCCCGCUGGCCGCCGGCGCCCUGAACCCAGCGCGCCCGUGUACAGAGCCAGAGGCCGGCUGGCUCUCUGUACUAAGGGUCGGCCCUGUUAGAUUAGUUAGAGAUAGGUUAGAUGUUAAUUAGUGUAUUAGUAUUAGUCUAAUGUAUCACCGACAGGUGGACCCACUGUUAGUUAAAAAAAGAUUGAUAUAAUAAAGCCAGAGACAAUGACAAGUGGGACCCAAACACUAUUCACCUUUUGACCAGUCAAAUGUUGACCGUGUCAACUCUGCUGACUGGACCACUACUGGACCCCAUUGGUCAUACACUCAGGCUAGUGGAGAGUUAGGUGACAAUGUAUAUUCUGUUUUUAAUUCGAAUUAUUAAUAAUGUUAAAAGGGGUUUAAAUCUUUAAAAAAUUAAUAUAAAAUAAUCUGUAGCUCGGAUGAAAAAGUUUUCUACAUGAAAGUUGCUCAUAACGAUGAGACGAAUCCGAAUACGUGGUCCGUUCACCUGUCAGAUGCCCCUAUCAUAGAAAACAUGCAACCUUUCCCUUCCGUUUUAUCUGUCCGAAAAUGCCUAACUCUGGGAAAACUUCCCGGAUGUUAUCACCCUUCGCCGGUAUUGUGUAGCACCGCGUUAGAACACGUCUAGCUCUACCUGUUGUCCUGUUAUGCUCUUGCUUGCUAUGUAUUUACUGUUUCUCCCCCCUCUUCUCUCCGGUAGCCUCGAGACCGCAGCUUAUGCCGCUGUGAUCGACUACGCCGACGACGACCCUCCUUGUCUAAGCAACCAGGCAAGCCCCCCCUUUGAUCAUCCCGAUAUCGCUCAUUCUAUACUCUCAUGCUUGCAUUAUAUUUUGCUACUGUUAUUGAUUGCUCCUAUUCUGAUGCAUAGCCUGCUUUUGUAUCUGCUAUUGUUACCUACCUACUUAUCCUAAACUACUUAGUAUAGGUUGGAUUAGAGAUCCAUCAGUGACCCCCACCUUGUCCUUGUUGCCCCUGCUUCUUCUUUGACUCCUCGAUCGACGUGAUCAACGACCAGAGCCCGACACCUCACAUCACAUCACGCCCCUUUAGUUGCUCGACUCUGCAGAGCUACUGUCGAGUGCCGAGGGUGAUCCCUCAUAACACACUCCUGAUGAUAAUUCUGUAGUGUAGCUAUUCGGUCGUCAUCGAGGGUGAUUUCCUCUUUCACCAUUCCCAAUACGGCUCUGUCGUUCAACGCAUCAAGUGUGAACCUCGAGGGUGGUCCCUCUUACGUUCACCUUGAUGAUUACAUUGAGCUGAAUCCACCGGGGGUGAUUCCUCGGGUUUUCCCCUUGAUGUUUGGACACACGGUUACCUUUACUUGAGACCUUGGUGAAAGUUGGGCGGGCCCGGAGAGCACCCGCAAGAUGGUUACGUGGCACGGCUGGGCAUUCUAGGCCCUUGUCGUAAGUCCAUGAGACGGAGCGACGGGGUCACUUUCGAUCGUGAGUCUCUGCUCGUCUCCGCAAGCUAAUAAUACACUAUGGUUUGGGUAUUUGUUCUGAGUUGGCCUUUCGCCUUUACACACCAACCACCACGUGAGAAUAGUUAUGGGCCUCGACGACGUAGUAUCAACCGAAGCUUUGUCAGACGUCUAGUUUAGGAGUGCGGCACGGCUGGGCCGGCACCAUCCUGUAGGGGUGGAGCCUGGACCCGCCCUGCGCGCAACGAUCCAGAGUGCAACGGGCGAUGGGUCCAGACCCCGGAGUGCUUAGGUUGUAGACCGGCGGGGACCUCUCUGCUGAGCCUAGGUAGGGCUACGACGUGUUGAUUUUCCGAGGCCGGGCAUUGACCCAGAAAAGUGUGUCCGGCCAGAGUAAUCAAGCGUGUUGGAAAAUGUGGUGCACCCCUGCAGGGAAGAUUAUUUAUUAAUAGUCGUGUCCACGGUAACGGACGUUCAGACUUAUAUCCUGAUCUUAUACAACUACAAAUGGAUACUUGAAUAUGUGGCUCCGGGAUUGCUUUCUCGCAGUGAGUCGAGGAAGGAUCUCUGGGCAUUAAUAUUACAACAUGCUGGUUAAAUAUAAACUGCUAUUCUUUACUCUUCUACAUGCUGCAAGAUGCUCGGAGCUGCUUGAAGAUGCUAGUCUUCGAUAGGGUAGGCCUUCCCCCUCUAUUCUGGCAUUCUGCAAUUCAGUCCACAGAUACAAACCUUCCAUUUGAUACCAAUGCUUACUUAGUAUAGAUCUGAUGCUUGCGAGUACUUUGGAUGAGUACUCACGGUUGCUUUGCUCCCCCUUUCCCCCCUUCUUUCUUCUUUCUGGUUGUUGCAACCAGAUGGUGGAUCCCUAGAGCCAGAUGCCACCACUGAUGGAUGCUGCUACGUGAAGAUCGUCGACAACCAGGAGUAGUUAGGAGGUCCCAGGCAGGAGGCCUUGCCUCUUCGAUCGUUGUUGCUUUUGUGCUAGCCUUCUUAAGGCAUCCUUGUUUAACUUGUGUCUGUACUCAUAUAUUCUUGCUUCCGCUGACUCUUGUGUAUAGAGCUUUUAUUCGAGCCCUCGAGGCCCCUGGCUUGUAAUAUAAAGCUUGUAUUAUGUUUAUUUGUGUCUAGAGUUGUGUUGUGAUAUCUUCCCGUGAGUCCCUGAUCUUGAUCGUACACAUUUGCGUGUAUGAUUAGUGUACGGUUAAAUCGGGGGUGUCACAAUGCCUCUCUCUUUAUAUCGUAGACUUGAGUUGAAUAAGUUGACACCUACUAAAAUAUCUUUGCAAAUGG
rnacentral:lncRNA from 1 species